rnacentral:rRNA from 1 species
CAUAAUCUCUAAGGAGAAAAGCAGGGGAUCGCAAGACCUUGCGCUUUUGGAGCGGCCGAUGUCUGAUUAGCUAGUUGGUGAGGUAAAGGCUUACCAAGGCUUCGAUCAGUAGCUGGUCUGAGAGGACGACCAGCCACACUGGGACUGAGACACGGCCCAGACUCCUACGGGAGGCAGCAGUGGGGAAUUUUGGACAAUGGGGGCAACCCUGAUCCAGCCAUGCCGCGUGAGUGAAGAAGGCCUUCGGGUUGUAAAGCUCUUUCAGCCGGAACGAAAAGGUUACGGUUAAUACCCGUGACUAAUGACGGUACCGGAAGAAGAAG